AUUGAACGCUGGCGGCAUGCCUUACACAUGCAAGUCGAACGGCAGCACGGAGCUUGCUCUGGUGGCGAGUGGCGAACGGGUGAGUAAUAUAUCGGAACGUACCCAAGAGUGGGGGAUAACGUAGCGAAAGUUACGCUAAUACCGCAUACGAUCUAAGGAUGAAAGAAGGGGACCGCAAGGCCUUGUGCUCCUGGAGCGGCCGAUAUCUGAUUAGCUAGUUGGUGAGGUAAAGGCUCACCAAGGCAUCGAUCAGUAGCUGGUCUGAGAGGACGACCAGCCACACUGGAACUGAGACACGGUCCAGACUCCUACGGGAGGCAGCAGUGGGGAAUUUUGGACAAUGGGGGCAACCCUGAUCCAGCAAUGCCGCGUGAGUGAAGAAGGCCUUCGGGUUGUAAAGCUCUUUUGUCAGGGAAGAAACGGUCGUGGCUAAUAUCCAUGGCUAAUGACGGUACCUGAAGAAUAAGCACCGGCUAAUUACGUGCCAGCAGCCGCAGUAACAC
rnacentral:rRNA from 1 species